rnacentral:rRNA from 1 species
UACGAAGGGUGCAAACGUUAUUCGGAAUCACUGGGCGUAAAGGGUGCGUAGGCGGGUCUUUAAGUCAGGGGUGAAAUCCUGGAGCUCAACUCCAGAACUGCCUUUGAUACUGAGGAUCUUGAGUUCGGGAGAGGUGAGUGGAACUGCGAGUGUAGAGGUGAAAUUCGUAGAUAUUCGCAAGAACACCAGUGGCGAAGGCGGCUCACUGGCCCGAUACUGACGCUGAGGCACGAAAGCGUGGGGAGCAAACAGG